rnacentral:misc_RNA from 1 species
UUGGGGUUUUAGUUGGAGUUGGUUUGAUAGUUGGCUUUGUGAAAUCUGAAAAUUAUCGAUCCAAAUGCCGUUCUGAACUGGCUACUACAAUUGCGGCAUUUGCUAGAAUGACAGUGGAAGAUUCCAGAAAGAUUUUUACACCAGAGCAGUAUCCUCCUUGGGUUGUUUUCUCCAAUCAGCAGAAGUUGAAUUGGCUUAAUUCUCAUCUUGAAAAGAUCUGGCCGUAUGUGGAUGAGGCAGCAUCAGAACUAGUGAAGUCAAGUGUUGAGCCAAUUUUGGAACAAUAUAGGCCUGUGAUUUUGGCGUCUUUGAAAUUUUCCAAGUUCACUCUUGGUACAGUUGCUCCACAAUUUACAGGGAUUUCUAUUAUUGAAGAUGGAAAUGAGGGUAUUACUAUGGAAUUAGAGAUGCAAUGGGAUGGGAAUCCAAGCAUAAUACUCGAUAUCAUGACUUAUGUUGGUGUAGCAUUACCAGUGCAGGUGAAAAACAUCGCGUUUACUGGUAUUUUCAGGCUCAUCUUCAGGCCACUUGUUGAUGAGUUUCCUUGCUUCGGAGCUGUAUGUUAUUCUCUAAGGCAGAAGAAAAAGCUGGAUUUUACGCUUAAAGUAAUUGGUGGUGACAUGACAGCAAUUCCUGGCCUUUCUGAUGCAAUUGAGGGAACCAUCCGGGACGCUGUUGAAGACUCUAUCACAUGGCCAGUUCGAAAAGUUAUUCCCAUUUUACCUGGGGAUUAUAGUGACCUUGAA